rnacentral:rRNA from 1 species
GAUGAACGCUGGCGGCGUGCCUAAUACAUGCAAGUCGAGCGAACGGACGAGAAGCUUGCUUCUCUGAUGUUAGCGGCGGACGGGUGAGUAACACGUGGAUAACCUACCUAUAAGACUGGGAUAACUUCGGGAAACCGGAGCUAAUACCGGAUAAUAUUUUGAACCGCAUGGUUCAAAAGUGAAAGACGGUCUUGCUGUCACUUAUAGAUGGAUCCGCGCUGCAUUAGCUAGUUGGUAAGGUAACGGCUUACCAAGGCAACGAUGCAUAGCCGACCCGAGAGGGUGAUCGGCCACACUGGAACUGAGACACGGUCCAGACUCCUACGGGAGGCAGCAGUAGGGAAUCUUCCGCAAUGGGAGAAAGCCUGACGGAGCAACGCCGCGUGAGUGAUGAAGGUCUUCGGAUCGUAAAACUCUGUUAUUAGGGAAGAACAUAUGUGUAAGUAACUGUGCACAUCUUGACGGUACCUAAUCAGAAAGCCACGGCUAACUACGUG